GUCCCGCUCCCAUCCAUCGAGCUGUCCCGUUCGGGUCGCCGUUGCCCAGGACGGCCACACGGGAUAGCUCCUCCCCAGUCGGAGGACAGGGACGGGUAUUUCACAGACUCCCAUGAGACUCAGGGUCUCAGCCUGUGUGGUUUCAACAUCUCCAGGGUUUAGGAGUUCUGGGGAAACUUUAACUCAUCUACCUUCCCAGCAUGGACUUUCCUGCAGCAACUGUUCCUCCAUCCCCAUCCCUAGGAGCUUCUGAAGCCAAAUGAGACAGAGGAGAAGACCUUUAAAACCCUUGGGGUUCCUACAGGCUUUAUGAAAAUCAAGGGAAGUUUCAGGAGACCCAGGCUGGGGUGGGUUUAGCAUAGGCAGUAGUUUGGGAUCUGGCAGUGUGGCUGUGCUUCUCCAAGUCAGCUGGCACAUCCAGCUGCUUCCCCAGCAGCAGUGAAGGGGCAGAGAGGGGUGACAGCAUAAUAGAGGAGAGAUCUUGGGGCUGUCAGAGACCUAUACUGAGCUGAAUGGAGAGUUCCAGCAAGGAGCUGAAAGGACACAAACCAGAAACCUCUGAGAAAACUCUGCUUUGUUUGGUUAGUGCAGCAAUUAGUUGUUUUGUUUUGUUUUUUUCCAGAGGCAUAAACCUGAUUUUCUGUUUUCUGAUGUUUACCCAAACUGAUGGUAGUAUUUGCAGUAUUGGGGCACUUACUGGCCAUCCUUUCUUCCUGAAAUUCCUUGGCUCUGCAAGUGAUUUGGUAGGAACAUGCACACAGGGCUGAUUGCUAGGGCCUCGGAGCAGUUUGAGGAGCUGAAGUUUGGGGAUCUGCUGCCACCAGCAGUGUGACAGUGGAGUGGGUGUUGGUCCACAGCGGGAGCAGCAAAUGCAGCUCUCGGGGGGACCUUCACACCGCCUGCCCUAAAGCCUCCAGGUUUUGUUGCCUUGAAAAAAAGAAGCAGCUCUAAUGGAACCAAACACACAAUUGAGAGCAGCUGCUGCUGCUGCUGGGAGAUCUGCACUCCCUUGAUCACACUGCCUACAUGAGGCACCCACACUCAGGGUGGUGAACUCAACCUGGGGAUGUUGCAUCACAGAACUUUCAUAAAACAUUCUGUUUAAGACUGAGCCAACUCAGGGAUGAUUCAUCUUUGUUCCUGCAAACAGAUGCUGGUUUAGGCACUUUUUGUGUGCCCUGCUGGAAUUAUGCAAUGAUGACAUUUUUUGGGGUAAACAAGCCACUCCUUUCCCCGACUCACUGUACAAAUUAGGUGUUCUGGUUCCUGAGGCACCUUCCAGUCCUCCCUGGCAACUCUUCCAGCCUAAUACAUUUGGGAGACCACAGCUUUGUUGUUACUCUGAGAUUUUAUCAGGGCCCUGUGCAAUGACUUACACAUCUCAGGGAUGUUUCUUGUUCCUGUGGGAUCUAUCCCAUCCUAUCCCAUGUCCCAGAGGGGUGAUUUUCACCCACCAUUUAUUUUGGCCAAGCUGUCAUGUUUUAUUUUCAUAAUCAACCCCUUCAGGGUUAUACUGUGUUUCCUUCUGCCUUUCCCACCACAGACCUUGCAUAGCAGUAGUUGCAUUGUAGUCCUUACUGGUCCUCAGUGGUUUUGGUGUCCCUGAGAAAUUCACAUUUACAUACUCGGUCUCACUAUACUGAGGUCCUUUGCUGAUGAACAUUUGAUUUUGCUUUUGCCUCUUUUCAGGUUGUCUUCUGUUGGAGUUUAUUGGCUAGAACACCUGCCAGCUUUUGGGUUUGAAUGAAGAAAUACCCAUAAAUUCAUAUGCCUUUAA